CCCUGUAAUGCCCCACAUGUUACUCAAAAUAUGUAUCUUAUUUUUUGUAAUGGGCGUCACUAUUGGCCAGUCCUGAAUAUCACCUUUGAAAAGCCAUGUUUGCCGAUAUUGUGAGAAAAGGUUCACCUCUGUUUUUCAACUUGACAGAUGGUUGCCCCCUGUGCGAGUGGAAGAUGUGACUUUGAAGACAGUCAUUGUAAAAGGUGCAAAAGGCUUGUCUAAGAUAAGCUGGCAGUCUACACCGCAUGGCCUGCGUUGCUGACAUUGAGUGAAGUUAAUGCAGAGUUCCUGUGCCUGACAUAUGCUUGAGGAAGCAUCUUGGAGGUUGUCAAGGAGAAGGGAGGCGUUGCCAGAAGGAAGGUAGGAUAACUCAUGGCUCCAACAGCUAAUGGAAACAUUGUGUUUGAGUUGCAAACAAUCUAAUGAAGUUGGGUAUUAGGUAUUAGAAGGUCAGACAUUAGGUGUGGGAGACGCAUGGCCCACCUCUAGGUUCACUGACUCUGAAUUUUGAACAGUUCUGAUUAUGAUGUUCACAAACGAUCUGCACCCCAAUAAAGAGAGCAUGCGAUAAAUGGCACCUGCAUAUCACUGACAAGCACACUAUUAAAUGCCCCCUAUUAGUGGCCAUGGUUGUCAUUCACUAGACAUCAGCAUUUUUACAUUUAGUGCCAUUAAAGCUACAUAAAAAGUGUGUGCACAGUGUUAAGCUUUCUGCAUUUUCUUUUUCCACCAUCAGGACUAGAGUGGCGAAGUGAUCCAAAGGCAGACUGCACAUCUACGUAUAUGGUUUGCAAGGAACAUCCCGUGCCAGAGACUGUGAUACAAGGCAUGGAGCUGUACAGUGAACUCGGAGCAUCUCUUGUGCAUGUGUGAUGCUCUUUGGACUCGGUUACCGGUAUAUACCCUCAAUCUCAACUCUGUGGAUUUGGAUUUACAAUUUUAAGUAUCCAGAUGAACUGAAAUAUAUGUUCUGGUGAAUUUGGAAAAUAUGCCCAAAAGGUUCAAUCACUAUAAACUACAGUAAAUAUGUUGGACACUGGCAAUCUCAGGUUCUAAGACAUUGUAUAAAAGGACAAUCCAUCGCAUUUCUAUGCAUACUUUUCUGUGCUGUUCUCUGAUCUGAGUUGAUGAUAUUUUUGUUGUCCUUAUCUUAGCUCAGCAUGGCAUUGAGUGUCAUUGAGAGGCUUUUUUCUAAGCAUUUUCUAUGCAGAUUAAAAGAUGAGCACUAUAAUGAAAGGCGUAAUAACGCCUCAGUAGCACUUCAUGGACACAUUGAUAUCAUAAUUAAAAACAUUUCUCUCUCCCUCUCCUCCACCACUUUGGGAAAGAAUCAAAGAGCCAAAAGUGAUCCUGUGGGCAGUUGGUUAAUUCUAAAAUGUCCAUUCACAAAUAACAUCUUUUUCAUGAAUGUCUAAGUAAAUAAGUGAGUAAAUAGACACAUACUGUUCUGUUGAGAGUAUGUUUUUCGACCAAAGAUAUCUGACUGCAUUCAAAAUGGUGGAUUAACAUUUACACUAUUAUUAAUUUGCCCAAGCGAUUAUGACAUUACUUAGAAUUUGCUGGUGGUUGUAAGCAUUCAUGAAAAAGAUGACAUUUCUGAACAGGCCACAUAAAUUAAUGUGGUACAGUACACUGAUAAUUUCAGGUUUUCUGUUUAAUUUCUGUUUAAUCAUACGAUUAUAUUGUCUAGAUUUUGGUGCUUUAUUAUCGUUUGACUGCAUGUUUGUCCAGCUGAUGAAAUAUUAAUAAAAGAAAUGUUUUGAA